CAUCAUUUAAGAAAACACAACAAGAUUUUGCAGUUCAAGCAGCUCUCUUCCUGGCUUAUUUGGUAUAGGCUGCUGGACACAGAGGAAAGCCUCCAAGCUUGUUGUGAAAUGUCUGUGCUGACAGAAAAGGAACAGCUGAGGAGAGAUAAUGGUACAAUCUCUAAGAUCUGUACAUCCUAGAUGAAUGUGAAGCUUUCAUUGCUGUCAAGUUUCAUUCUGGUUUAAAGAAGAAAAAGAAAAGAGAAAAAAGCUGAAAUGUACAUAUAGAGAAGAAUUUGCAAUUAGAAGUUCACCACAGCUAGAAGAUGUGGGAAAACAGCUGAAAAAUGCCCUGCUUUUGACUUUGACUUAGAGCAGAAAUGUUUUUGUUUGUUUCAAAGCAAUGUAAUAAGGUGAAGAAAGGUCAAGGAAGAGCAUCUAGUGAAAGAUGUCUCUGGCAUGACUGCAGGACAUGGGAGCCUUGACUUGAAGGCAUGCAGGGCAAGACUACAAUGACUUCAUCUUUACUCUGAGAAGGACUGAAAUAGGGGAAAAAGGGGACUAGUGUCUCUCACCCUAACAUAACAUAAAAAUUCCUGCUUGCACUGACUGUCUUCUUCAGGAUUUCUCCAAGGUCAAUACCGGAAAUGUUCUCUUGUGAAUUCUGAAAAUUCCAUAUCACAGAAUCAAAUGAAUAUAUAAGUGUUUCACCUAGCCAGCA